CAAAAACAUGUCCUUUUGUAUUAAAUAUAAGGUUUAACCUGCCCAAUGAUUUUUUUUGAAUGGCCGCGGUAUUUUAACUGUGCUAAGGUAGCAUAAUCAUUUGUCUUUUAAUUGAAGGCUGGAAUGAAAGGUUGGACGAGGUAAUUACUUUCUUUAAUAUAGUUUAUGAAAUUAAUUUUUUAGUUAAAAAGCUAAAAUGUUUUUAUUAGACGAGAAGACCCUAUAGAUCUUUAUACUUAUUUUGAUUUAUUAAUUUGGUAUUAUAACUUAUUUUUAUCUUUAUAAGUAUUAAAUUGGGGUGAUUUUAGAAUUUUAUAAACUUCUAAUUUUAUAAUUUCAUUAAUUUAUGUUUAUUUGAUCUUUUUUUAAUGAUUAAAAGUUUAAGUUACCUUAGGGAUAACAGCGUAAUUUCUUUGGAGAGCUCUUAUCGAUAAAGGAGUUUGCGACCUCGAUGUUGGAUUAAAAUAAGUAAUUGGUGUAGCAAUUAAUUUACUAGGUCUGUUCGACCUUUAAUAUUUUACAUGAUCUGAGUUCA
rnacentral:rRNA from 1 species